rnacentral:tRNA from 1 species
GCGGACAUAGCUCAGUUGGGAGAGCGUCAGACUGAAGCGGGUUCCACUCGGGGACUUGGGAAACUUCAUUCAAUCAAUCUGAAGGUCGUGUGUUCAAUCCACACUGGCCGCA